rnacentral:rRNA from 1 species
AUUGAACGCUGGCGGCAGGCCUAACACAUGCAAGUCGAGCGAGCGGCGGACGGGUGAGUAAUGUAUGGGGACUGCCCGAUAGAGGGGGAUAACUACUGGAAACGGUAGCUAAUACCGCUUACUAUCGGAUAACCCAUAUGGGAUUAGCUAGUAGGUGAGGUAAUGGCUCACCUAGGCGACGAUCCCUAGCUGGUCUGAGAGGAUGAUCAGCCGCACUGGGACUGAGACAUGGCCCAGGCUCCUACAGAGGCAGCAGUUUGGACUAUUGCACAAUGGGCGCAAGCCUGAUGCAGUCAUGCCGAGUAUAUGAAGAAGGCCCUGGGUUUGUAAAGUACUUUCAGUCGGGAGGCGUUACCGACAGAAGAAGCACCGGCUAACUCCGUGCCAGCAGCCGCGGUAAUAC